rnacentral:rRNA from 1 species
GAGUUUGAACCUGGCUCAGGACGAACGCUGGCGGCGUGCCUAAUACAUGCAAGUCGAGCGAGCUUGCCUAGAUGAUUUUAGUGCUUGCACUAAAUGAAACUAGAUACAAGCGAGCGGCGGACGGGUGAGUAACACGUGGGUAACCUGCCCAAGAGACUGGGAUAACACCUGGAAACAGAUGCUAAUACCGGAUAACAACACUAGACGCAUGUCUAGAGUUUGAAAGAUGGUUCUGCUAUCACUCUUGGAUGGACCUGCGGUGCAUUAGCUAGUUGGUAAGGUAACGGCUUACCAAGGCAAUGAUGCAUAGCCGAGUUGAGAGACUGAUCGGCCACAUUGGGACUGAGACACGGCCCAAACUCCUACGGGAGGCAGCAGUAGGGAAUCUUCCACAAUGGACGAAAGUCUGAUGGAGCAACGCCGCGUGAGUGAAGAAGGGUUUCGGCUCGUAAAGCUCUGUUGGUAGUGAAGAAAGAUAGAGGUAGUAACUGGCCUUUAUUUGACGGUAAUUACUUAGAAAGUCACGGCUAACUACGUGCCAGCAGCCGCGGUAAUACGUAGGUGGCAAGCGUUGUCCGGAUUUAUUGGGCGUAAAGCGAGUGCAGGCGGUUCAAUAAGUCUGAUGUGAAAGCCUUCGGCUCAACCGGAGAAUUGCAUCAGAAACUGUUGAACUUGAGUGCAGAAGAGGAGAGUGGAACUCCAUGUGUAGCGGUGGAAUGCGUAGAUAUAUGGAA